UCCUAGCCCAGAUAGCAGUGGAAAUCCUUUUAUACGCCUUUUGAGCGGAUACAAAGAUUGCAACGAAUAGCUGGAAAUAGC
rnacentral:sRNA from 1 species